CCUACGGGGGGCUGCAGUGGGGAAUAUUGGACAAUGGGCGAAAGCCUGAUCCAGCCAUGCCGCGUGUGUGAAGAAGGCCUUCGGGUUGUAAAGCACUUUCAGUGGGGAAGAAAGCCUUGGGGCUAAUACCCUCGAGGAAGGACAUCACCCACAGAAGAAGCACCGGCUAACUCCGUGCCAGCAGCCGCGGUAAUACGGAGGGUGCGAGCGUUAAUCGGAAUUACUGGGCGUAAAGCGCGCGUAGGCGGUCUGAUAAGCCGGUUGUGAAAGCCCCGGGCUCAACCUGGGAACGGCAUCCGGAACUGUCAGGCUAGAGUGUAGGAGAGGAAGGUAGAAUUCCCGGUGUAGCGGUGAAAUGCGUAGAGAUCGGGAGGAAUACCAGUGGCGAAGGCGGCCUUCUGGACUGACACUGACGCUGAGGUGCGAAAGCGUGGGUAGCAAACAGGAUUAGAUACCCCAGUAGUC
rnacentral:rRNA from 1 species